rnacentral:rRNA from 1 species
UACGUAGGGUGCGAGCGUUGUCCGGAAUUACUGGGCGUAAAGAGCUCGUAGGUGGUUUGUCGCGUUGUUCGUGAAAACUCACAACUCAAUUGUGGGCGUGCGGGCGAUACGGGCAGACUGGAGUACUGCAGGGGAGACUGGAAUUCCAGGUGUAGCGGUGAAAUGCGUAGAUAUCUGGAGAACACCGGUGGCGAAGGCGGCAUCCUGGACCAACACUGACACUGAGGAGCGAAAGCCAGGGGAGCAAACGGG